rnacentral:rRNA from 1 species
AGCUCCAACAGCGUAUGAUAAAGUUGUUGCAGUUAAAAAGCUCGUAGUUGGACUUCUGAUGUGGGACUGCGCCCCGGUGUUAUGCCGUUGGGUGCGGCCUCGCGUCUUCCUCUCGUAGUUGGAUGGUGCACUUAACUGGGUGCCUUCUGAAUGUGGGACCUUUACUUUGAAAAAUUAGAGUGUUCAAAGCAGGCAAUCGCUAAUAAUAGAAUAGGACUUUGGUUCUAUUUUGUUGGUUUCUAGGACCGAAGUAAUGAUUAAUAGGGACAGUUGGGGGCAUUAGUAUUUAAUUGUCAGAGGUGAAAUUCUUGGAUUUAUGAAAGACUAACUACUGCGAAAGCAUUUGCCAAGGAUGUUUUCA